rnacentral:tRNA from 1 species
AGAUCAAUUGUGAGGGCUGGAUAUGCGGGACCUUGAAUUUCUCGACCGCCACGUUCGGGACGUGGGGGUCGAGUGUUCGAAUCACUCCACUCCGACCA